rnacentral:lncRNA from 1 species
CAGAGCUUCCCCCUUGCCAAGGCUGCCGUUGCUCUUGGGACCAGCUGAAUACAACGGGCACCCCACCCCAGCGCUGGUGAUCAGACCCUUUGAACAUGGCAGUGCUGGCUCUGUCUUGUUCUGAAGGCUUUUGAGCCUUACCCGCCUGCUGCACAAACCGCUGUAGCUCCUGAUGUGAUGACACCUGACGCCUAGAGAGCAAAGCUCAAGGUUAUCAUGUGGCAUCAUGGACAAGCUGCAAUGCCAGUUCUCCCUGGUUGACUACAGUGGCUCCAUGUUCUUCCUGGUCAUCUCUGUGUUGAGCUCUACUUACAACAUUCCCCAGUUCCAGCCCCAGGAAGGAAACAGUUUUCUAUGUGGCUAAUAUGGGCUCCCUACCUCUCUGUCAUCAGACAGAAUUGAGUCCACC